rnacentral:ncRNA from 1 species
AUUCCCUUCGGGAUCCCUGGUGCCACGUAUCUCUGUUUUACUGGGCAAAGCAAAUGACUAGAGGUCUUUGAGCCUCGAUAAACUCAAUCUAUUCUCCAACUUUAAAUGCAUAAGAAGCACAGCUCGGUGGCUUGUGGCCGGGUGUGGUAUAUGAGCAGCACAGUGGGCCGCUUUUUGUAAGAAGAACUGGAGGGCAGGAUUAACUAGCCCCAGGAAAAGUGUGGAUACAGACAGCGGGACGGUGACCAUGGAAGCUGGAACCAGCUAAUGAGUGCGUAACAACUCACCAGCCAAGUCAAUUAGCUGGCCAUCACACUGACUUUCUGCCAGGGAGCCAGCAGGUUAAAACCGGUUUUAUAUCUCAUCUGAGU